AUAGAAGCCCUGCGGGAAGAGAUGGCACGAACACGGGCUAGAGGGAAGAAAGGCUGGCCAGGCGCCCCGACUCCGCCCCCCGACUACCCAACAGAACAAAGAAGGCCAACGCGUGCGCAGAAGGCCAGAGAAUUAUUCGUCCAAACCUGAUGUAUCUGUCUCCAUCUUCUAGAAACUGGCAGAAUUGAACUUCCUGGACUCUCUGUGGUUCACCAAGUAGUUCAGAACAAAACCCUCCCAAACUUGACGAAACUGGAGUUCACAGAACACAAGUGGAGAAAGGAGUAGGGAACCCCAACUCCCUCCUCCCUCAGACCCAGGAGUCCGGCUCCCCGGUCUGCUCUUCCACAGG